rnacentral:rRNA from 1 species
AGAGUUUGAUCAUGGCUCAGAAUCAACGCUGGCGGCGUGCCUAACACAUGCAAGUCGAACGCGAAAGGGGCUUCGGCCCUGAGUAGAGUGGCGAACGGGUGAGUAACACGUGGGUGAUCUACCUUUGAGUGGGGGAUAACGUUCCGAAAGGAGCGCUAAUACCGCAUGACGUCCUGGGUUUGAAGACCUGGAAACCAAAGUCGGGGACCGCAAGGCCUGACGCUUGGAGAGGAGCCCGCGCCUGAUUAGCUAGUUGGUGGGGUAACGGCCUACCAAGGCGACGAUCAGUAGCCGGCCUGAGAGGGCGGACGGCCACACUGGGACUGAGACACGGCCCAGACUCCUACGGGAGGCAGCAGUGGGGAAUUGUUCGCAAUGGGCGCAAGCCUGACGACGCAACGCCGCGUGGAGGAUGAAGGUCUUCGGAUUGUAAACUCCUGUUGAUCGGGAAGAAUGGACCCCGGGUUAAUAGUCCGGGGUAUUGACGGUACCGAUUGAGGAAGCCACGGCUAACUCUGUGCCAGCAGCCGCGGUAAUACAGAGGUGGCAAGCGUUGUUCGGAAUUACUGGGCGUAAAGGGCGCGUAGGCGGUUGCCUAAGUCGGACGUGAAAUCCCCAAGCUUAACUUGGGAACUGCAUCCGAUACUGGGUGACUUGAGUUCGGGAGAGGAAUGUGGAAUUCCAGGUGUAGCGGUGAAAUGCGUAGAUAUCUGGAGGAACACCGGUGGCGAAGGCGGCAUUCUGGACCGAAACUGACGCUGAGGCGCGAAAGCCAGGGGAGCAAACGGGAUUAGAUACCCCGGUAGUCCUGGCCCUAAACGAUGAGAACUAGGCGUUGGAGGGUAUUACCCUUUAGUGCCGAAGCUAACGCGUUAAGUUCUCCGCCUGGGGAGUACGGCCGCAAGGCUAAAACUCAAAUGAAUUGACGG